rnacentral:tRNA from 1 species
GAGACUCUAGUAAACUCAUUACAUAGCACUGUCAGCGCUAAAUAAAAGGCAUGCCCCUUUGAGCCUCC